UCUCUGGCCCAGUGGGAAGAAGAGUUUUCCAGGCUGGUGCCUGAUUGAUCGAAUACUUCUUGUCUGUAGAAGAUGAACAGAGGUUUCAAAGUCCAUAACUUAAUGGGCAAGGCUGUGUUCCCUCCCUGUUGUUUGACCUGAGACCAAACUAUGAUGGAGGUAAUGAAGAUAAUGGUGACCUCCUUCAAAACGUCCUUGCACACUGCUACACUCAGUACCCUCAACCCUGCAGCAGGCCACCACCGACCCAUGCCUCUGCCAGAGACUCCUGGACACUCACAGAAGAAGCUUGAGAGUCCCUUGGACUGCAAGUGGAUCCAACCAGUCCAUCCUAAAGGAAAUCAGUCCUGAAUAUUCAUUGGGAGGGCUAAUGCUAAAGCUGAAGGGACAAUACUUUGGCCACCUGAUGCGAAGA
ensembl:lncRNA